rnacentral:rRNA from 1 species
AUGUGCUCCCUACCAAACCACGGCAUCAUCUGCUUUAAUCCCACCCAUACAGGCCAUGUUUGUAGCAUGAAAGGCCUAUUCUGUUGGAGCCGUGCAUGGCCGACCUAUGAUUGCUCUCGCGUACCUUUGCGCGAUGGCGGCCUGCUGCAACGCAAGGAACUCACCGAGCGGCGGCAGGAUCGAGACGGAGAGCAGUGCCGUGUUGAUGUCCAGCGUGUCCAGGUUCUUGAGUCGGCUAAGCUCGCCGUCGCCGGGAGGGGGCCAGAGGUGUUGGUCUCCCCGAGGCCGAGCAUGAUGAGGUUGGAGCAGUAG